UACGAAGGGGGCUAGCGUUGCUCGGAAUCACUGGGCGUAAAGCGCACGUAGGCGGAUCUUUAAGUCAGGGGUGAAAUCCUGGAGCUCAACUCCAGAACUGCCUUUGAUACUGGGGAUCUCGAGUCCGGGAGAGGUGAGUGGAACUGCGAGUGUAGAGGUGAAAUUCGUAGAUAUUCGCAAGAACACCAGUGGCGAAGGCGGCUCACUGGCCCGGUACUGACGCUGAGGCGCGAAAGCGUGGGGAGCAAACAGG
rnacentral:rRNA from 1 species